rnacentral:rRNA from 1 species
UAACGGCGAGUGAAGCGGCAAAAGCUCAAAUUUGAAAUCUGGUACCUUCGGUGCCCGAGUUGUAAUUUGGAGAGGGCAACUUUGGGGCCCGUUCCUUGUCUAUGUUCCUUGGAACAGGACGUCAUAGAGGGUGAGAAUCCCGUGUGGCGAGGAGUGCGGUUCUUUGUAAAGUGCCUUCGAAGAGUCGAGUUGUUUGGGAAUGCAGCUCUAAGUGGGUGGUAAAUUCCAUCUAAAGCUAAAUAUUGGCGAGAGACCGAUAGCGAACAAGUACAGUGAUGGAAAGAUGAAAAGAACUUUGAAAAGAGAGUGAAAAAGUACGUGAAAUUGUUGAAAGGGAAGGGCAUUUGAUCAGACAUGGUGUUUUGUGCCCUCUGCUCCUUGUGGGUAGGGGAAUCUCGCAUUUCACUGGGCCAGCAUCAGUUUUGGUGGCAGGAUAAAUCCAUAGGAAUGUAGCUUGCCUCGGUAAGUAUUAUAGCCUGUGGGAAUACUGCCAGCUGGGACUGAGGACUGCGACGUAAGUCAAGGAUGCUGGCAUAA